rnacentral:rRNA from 1 species
AUUGAACGCUGGCGGCAGGCCUAACACAUGCAAGUCGAGCGAGGGGCGGACGGGUGAGUAAAGUGAGGGGAUCUGCACGAAAGAGGGGGAUAACUAAUGUGAAAGGUGGCUACUAUAGCAUACUAGCGGAUGUACCCAUAUGGGAUUAGCUAGUAGGUGGGGUAAAGGCUCACCUAGGCGACGAGCUCUAGCUGGUCUAAGAGGAUGAUCAGCCACACUGGGACUGAGACACGGCCCAGCCUCCUACGGGAGGCAGCAGUAGGGAAUCUUGCACAAUGGGCGCAAGCCUGAUGCAGCCAUGCCGCGUGUGUGAAGAAGGCCUUAGGGUUGUAAAGUACUUUCAGCGGGGAGGCGUUACCCGCAGAAGAAGCACCGGCUAACUCCGUGCCAGCAGCCGCGGUAAUUC